UCCAUCGUGGUGCAGUUGGUAGCACACCAGACCAAACGUCUGGAGGCCCGAGUUCGAUUCUCGGCGAUGGAA